UGAAAUCGCAUAUUAGUGAUUGCAAGUAUAUUACCUGUCCCCAAAAGUCAAAAAGAAGUUAUACAGUGUUGUGCUAACAUUGUGAUAAAUUGUAUCCUAAACGAACGAGAAACCUCAAAGUACUAUUAUCUAAUUGUUGCAGCAACUCCUAACUCAGAACAUGUAAAACAAACUGUUUAUUCUGUGCUAGGUACACUUGAAUGAUGAAAGUAAGAACUAUGAGGUUCAAGAAAGAUUCCUUGAGUAUGUGAAUUGCAUUGAAAAAAACACGUGAAGUGAUUUUAGGACUGAUCAUUGAUGCCCUCAGGAAGCACAGUAUACCAAUUCCAGACUGCCAUGGUAAAGGGUUUGACAAAGGAAACAAUAUGAGUGGCUCAUAGAAAAGCACCCAAUCUCAUAUUUGGAAAUGCAACCUACAAGCCACAUACUCGCCUUGUGCUAGUCAGAGUGUGGUGUUCAUGCCAUUUAAUGUUGUCCAGAGGUGAUUAAGUCUAUCCUGCAAAGAUGGGAAAUUUUCGAAGAAAAUGUUGGCUGCUCUCUGCACAGCAUGUCGGACACAUGUUAGUUUGCGUGGGUAGACAGUUUUAAUCGUUUUUCAGUUCACCUUCUUGGGAUAAAGAAGGCUAUUGAAAUCAUACAAAAUAUGAAUCUGACAGUAGAGACUUGAUUGUAUUUAAAUGGUAUUUAGAAUUAUGUGGAUUAGUUUGAGUGUAUCCUCAUGGCUUUCACUUGACUUAAAGUCCUCAUGGCAAUCAACUUCAGGAACACAGUUCUACAUUGGAUGUAGAGGGUGAUAACAUAAAAACCCUAAUUGAGGUCAUCAAACAUUUGAGAGAGGGUUGGAAUACAGUUUUAGCUGAAAUUAACCUUCAUGCUGAGAGUCUUAGUAUGGCUACUUCAAUGAUGCUGAGAGAGAAAAGCCACAAAGAAAGGAAGAUAUUUGCAGAUCAGACAUCGAAGGAAGAGCUGAUAGAUAACAAUCCAGAAGAGUGUUUCAAGUGUCAAGUUUUCUAUGCUCUACUAUAUUGCAUCAUCUGAAACAUGGCCAGGCAUUGUGAGGCAGCUAGGGAACUAGAGGCAACAUUUGGUAUCAUAAGGAGAUACACAAACUUGAACAAAGAAAAUAUGCAGAGACAAACUAGAAUACUUUGUGAAAAAUACAGUGUUGACAUUUCCGAGAAUGCAGUGGAAGAAAUAGAACACAUAAAGCUGACCCUCAUAGAUAGUCUGGGGCAAACACCUCUGUCACCUUCACAGCCUCCAAGUUGAAACUCGACACCCUGUUUACAAAUAUUUCCGUUGUGGUUAGGAUUUUCUGUACCCUACCAGUCACUAUCACACAGCUAGUAUGCUCAUUCAGUACACUGGCAAACGUAAAAUAUGUCCUGAGAUUAACUAUGUGUCAAGUUUGACUGAUGAGUUUGGGAAUAUUGUCAUUGGAGGUGCUUCUAGCAAGGAAAUUGGAUUUUGAUGCUGGUCUUGAAAUGUUUGUAGCCAUAUUUGCAAGCAUAGCCUCAAAAGGACUAUUUGUACUAGAUGUCUCUGAACGACGAGACAAGAAGGAAGGCAGCUAAGAAACAGCAAUCACAGCCAGAUCAUGGGCUACAUUAAUUGAAUAGAUGUAUUUGACCGCUGCUCCUAUAACGCAUCCACGGCCUCAGAAUACGAGAGGCGUUUUUUUUGUUGCCACAAGACACUACCAUGGGCCCUCAAACUGCAGUCUGGCCUGCUAACCAUUAAAAUAUGCUAUGCCCGAUAAUUUAACAGUUCAG
rnacentral:lncRNA from 1 species